rnacentral:RNase_P_RNA from 1 species
UCGGGUGGCCGCUGCACAGCCUGUCUGCGUAGAGGAAAGUCCGGACAUCACAAGGCAGCGCGUCCUUCGAAAGGGGGAGACUUCCGGAGCCAAUGCCGGGAGGACGGAAAGUGCCACAGAAAACAAACCGCCUGCAAGGGUAAGGGUGAAAAGGUGGGGUAAGAGCCCACCGCUCCGGAGGUAACGACGGAGGCAUGGUAAACCCCGCGCGAUGCAAGACAAACAGGGGGAGGGUCGCCUGCCCGACUAAAGUCCCCCGGGUAAUAGUUGCACCCGGCUAUAAACGCCGGGUACGGGUUCGCCUGUAAGAAAAAUGGCCACACAGCCCGAAAGGGUGGACAGAAUCUGGCUUACAGA